UGCACCUAUAUUCAGAAGCCAUUUCAAAAGCAAAUAUGCAUCAUAAUUUGGUCACUCAAAUGUUUUUCUCUGCAGUUAUGUGCAUAUGUUUGCGUUUACUGAAGAUGUUUCGAUGAUGAUGGAGAUAUAAAGCCCAUUAGUUCGUCAUCAUCGUUGUCAACACAUUAACUCCAACAUUAGCAGAGAUAACAGUAAUUGUCAACACUGGAAAGGGGUGUCAGGUAUAGAGGAGAAUGCUGACAGAUGAUAAUAUAUCUUCAUGAAUGAAUGUAUGAAAUAGACGCAGAAUAAUAUGUGGGAAAUCAGCUCCAUCAUCUGAGAGCCUUUGAUCUCGGGCCUUUGUUAGUUCAUUGCCACGGAUUCUGAGUGAUUUGGGAAGGAUGCCCCGCGAGACUCGCCAGAAUUUGGUGUAAACCUCAAAGGAGCACCUUGCGGAGUGCGAUAAGACUGUAUCAGUGAGCCAGCGACCCCGGGUUCAUCCAUCAGACAGGGAUGAGAGCCACUGGGUGUACUAGUGCAGUUUGGCAGACACUACCACCAUGACAGCUUCCUCCCACGUUUGCUCAAUCCAAUAUAAAUCUGCUCUAAAUUUACUCGCAUUAUUUCCAGGUGUUAAUAAUAAACACACAGGCCAAGAACAUUACAUUCAAGAUGCAGGCUAACUCUCUCCUUCUCAUGGGGGACUCAAAUUGACCCUUCACGCUUAAGGUGCAUAAAAUGUUCACUAGAUAGAGCUAUUCACUAAGCUACUCCUUCAUUUGCGUCCCAUCUUCAGUCCGUAUAAGGUCGUGCAGUUUGUCUUCACUGAAGAGAGGAGCUUUAUGGAAAGUUGUUUUCACAAGGAAGACAUUUUUCCACUUAAACCAGGUCACGCCACCCCUCCCCUCCUGACAUAUUUGCCUUGUGCAACCUACAUGUUUUUGCGCCAAAGGGUGGCUGCUGGAUCUCUUGUUACAGAGUCAGCAGAAUUAGUAGCGUCUGACAUGGACUUUGGUGUGGCUACUGUAAACUGUACUACAGUAACCCAGAGAUGGCUCAGUAUCUAUUUACACCGCGGCUCCUGUUGGAACACAUGACCCUCCUGUACCAACAAAACAUGAGAAAGGACUGAGGAAUGCAGGAGCGAGAGGCCAGUCAGGAGAGGACAGCUGCAUGUGUUUAAGCAUGGAAAAGGCAUGUCAUGUUGAAUAGCCUGGGACCAAAGACAGACCCUGGGAGAAGAGACAGCAGUCUGCGCUGAAACUGAACCUUGCAUACCACACAUGCUUCAGGGGCACGAUAGCUUUCUUUACAACAUGCAGUAAAAACUGCCUGGAAGUGAUGCAGUGAAGCAGCUGAACAUUCUUGUUUUUCUCAAACUUGUUGGAUCAUUUAGGUCAAAAUAGGUUUGUUUUGGGAAGCUGCAUUUUAAAUAUAUCAAAUA